GGCGCACUUACCGGGCGUGGCGCCCGAAAGGGCUGAAUAGGGAAUGCGGUGCGUGCGCUUGCGCACAAGGCCGCGGCUGCCCCCGCAACUGUAAGCGGCGAGCCUUCGACCACCCAAAGCCACUGGGACCGCAAGGUCCUGGGAAGGCCGGUCGAGGGCCCUGACCCGCGAGCCAGGAGACCUGCCACGAGCCGUGGUCACGC
rnacentral:ncRNA from 2 species